rnacentral:misc_RNA from 1 species
AACGGUCUAUACCUGCGGUACCUGCGGAGGGAUCAUUAUCGAAUGGCCACACGCUGGCCUUCAACCCUACAAACCUGUGGAAGCAAAGACGUGCUUCGGCGCCACGGCGUCGCUUUUAUGCAACGAACCCUUGAUGUGUCUUGGAUUUAAACAAGAAACAAAACUUUUAACAACGGAUCUCUAGAUCA